GACACGGACCAGACUCCUACGGGAGGCAGCAGUAAGGAAUAUUGGUCAAUGGGGGCAACCCUGAACCAGCCAUGCCGCGUGCAGGAUGACGGCCCUAUGGGUUGUAAACUGCUUUUAUACCAGAGAAAACCCGAGUACGUGUACUCGGUUGAUAGUAUGGUAAGAAUAAGCAUCGGCUAACUUCGUGCCAGCAGCCGCGGUAAGACGAAGGAUGCAAGCGUUAUCCGGAUUCAUUGGGUUUAAAGGGUGCGUAGGCGGACUUGUAAGUCAGUGGUGAAAUCUCUUUGCUUAACAAAGAAACUGCCAUUGAUACUGCAGGUCUAGAGUAUAGAUGACGUUGGCGGAAUAUGACAUGUAGUGGUGAAAUACUUAGAUAUGUCAUAGAACACCGAUUGCGAAGGCAGCUAACGAAACUAUAACUGACGCUGAGGCACGAAAGUGCGGGGAUCAAACAGGAUUAGAUACCCUGGUAGUCCGCACCGUAAACGAUGAUUACUCGUUGUUGGCAAUAUGACCGUCAGCGACCAAGCGAAAGCGAUAAGUAAUCCACCUGGGGAGUACGCCGGCAACGGUGAAACUCAAAGGAAUUGACGGGGGCCCGCACAAGCGGAGGAGCAUGUGGUUUAAUUCGAUGAUACGCGAGGAACCUUACCUGGGCUUGAAAGUUAGCGACCGGUCCUGAAAGGGAUCUUCCAGCAAUGGCGCGAAACUAGGUGCUGCAUGGCUGUCGUCAGCUCGUGCCGUGAGGUGUUGGGUUAAGUCCCGCAACGAGCGCAACCCCUAUUGUUAGUUACCAGCGAGUAAUGUCGGGAACUCUAACGAAACUGCCCGUGCAAACGGUGAGGAAGGUGGGGACGACGUCAAGUCAUCACGGCCCUUACGUCCAGGGCUACACACGUGCUACAAUGGUCGGUACAACGGGCAGCUACACAGCGAUGUGAUGCUAAUCUCUAAAAACCGAUCUCAGUUCGGAUUGAAGUCUGCAACUCGACUUCAUGAAGCUGGAUUCGCUAGUAAUCGCGCAUCAGCAAUGGCGCGGUGAAUACGUUCCCGGGCCUUGUACACACCGCCCGUCAAACAAUGGAAGUUGAGGGUAUCUAAAGUCAGUAGCUGCAAGGCGCUGCCUAGGGUAAACUUGAUAACUGGUGUUAAGUCGUAACAAGGUAGCCGUACCGGAAGGUGCGGCUG
rnacentral:rRNA from 1 species